GAUUUUAUCAAAGAUUUGCGUCAACAAUAACUUUGAAUGUUGGUGAUAGUUUUAACUCUUUAAAAGAAUUAGAAGAAGCGAUUAAGAACUAUGAAAUUGAAUUUAACGUUUCUCUAUACAAACGAGAGAGUAGAUCUAUUGCAUCUGCAAGGAAAAAAGGCAUUAAACGAACGUUAAAUGACGAUUUGUUAUUUUAUAGCAUGCAUUAUGCAUGCUAUCAUAUGCUAAAAUUUUAAAAGUAGAUCAAAAGGAAAGCGUCCAAAUCAAAGUGUAUUUCCAAGUACGAUGCUUUAUGAAAUCUUAAGCAAGUUCAAUGAAAUGAUGACAGUGGCUUAUCUCAGAGUUUAGGAAGAUCAUUAUUUGUUAAACUUGUCUAAUGACAAUAUUUAACUCUUAUCAGGAAAAAAACUACAAAACUUAAUAUAAGACAAAUUUGUUGAUAAGCUCGCAACAUUGUUUUCAGACGAUAAAUAAAUCUAAAUUUUAUUUGGAAAAGAAAUAGAAUGCAACAUUCAAAAAAUGACUUUUAGAUCAAGUCUGUAUAUCUGUCGAAAACCCAAUUGUAAAGUUAAAGCGAUGCAAUAGCCGAGCCCAUAUCUCAAUCUCUCUGAAUAUAUAUCUGUCAAAGAACGUUCUACAAAUAUGUGACAUUUUUUGUAUUUUUUUUGUUAAGGCUUUACCUGAAUAUUUGCUACCUAUAAUUUUUUUCAAAUAAAACUUUUAAUAAUUAUAUUGACUUUUUUUCGAAACUUUAUGUAAUAUAAUAUUGAAUUUAUAUUUUAAUAUAAUAUGAAGUCUAUCA